rnacentral:rRNA from 1 species
CUCUUGGAAACGGGUGGUAAUGCUGGAUGCUCCAACUUGACGCAUGUCUUGUUGGGAAAGUGUUUAGUGGCAUGGGAUGGGGGUCGCGUCCUAUCAGCUUGUAGGCGGGGUAAUGACCCACCUAGGCUUUGACGGGUAGCCGGCCUGAGAGGGCGGACGGCCACAUUGGGACUGAGAUACGGCCCAGACUCCUACGGGAGGCAGCAGCA